rnacentral:lncRNA from 1 species
AUGAACUUUUUUUUUUCUUUUGUUUUAGGACGUGUAGAUGUCUGUUUUACCAGGACAAAAGGAAUACUGCCUAUUCACAUUAUCUCCAAUAUAUUCAGAUUUCCUGUUUGCUUCCAGUCAUCCUCUAGCAUUGUGGAGGAUGCUGUAAAUAUCUGCAGAAAGAACAAUCACAUUCCUGCAAACAGAUUUUUCCACUACCUCCACAUCAGCGCUCUCUCUGGAUUAAUUUCCCUCUUCUAUAAAAUCUUAAUCUUGCUCUCCCUGACCUAUAUACAGAGAAGGUAAAAAAUCCUAGCAAGAGGGCAGAUGUAAGAAGUCAGUUUGUGCUCAAAGUUAAUUGGUUACAAGAAAAGUUGUCAGUCCUAGAAGUUGAUCAAUCUAUCAGUGCUGGCAAACACCCUCAUGGACAUUUAUAAAGGAUGAAAAAUGGACAGCACAGGAAUGUCCUUUCUAUUUUUUUUUUAAUUAUUAUUUUAUUAUUUAUUUAUUUUUAUUUUAUUUUUCCUAGCUGAGCAGGGAAAUGAUUUUAUUAUUCUCUCCUGCGCCUCAAAAUGUCAUUUUUGUAGACAUUGUAAUGCUCAAGGACAGCAGUAGUGUUCGAUCUGGUCAGUCACAGACUUCUGGGUGCUACUGGAGCUGAGUUCAUUGGAAAAGCCAGUUAAAAUGCUUGAAGCAAUGAAGAAGCUUCAGACCCUGAAACUGCCAUCCAUAGCAUUGGGCUGUAGGUUAGUCAGGGUAAACUAUUUGGAGAGAGAUGUACUUUCUGCAGAAAGAGGAGGAAGAUAUUGCAGGUCGGCAAGCUAUAGGAUUUGGAAAAAAAACAGGAAAGCUACGAAGAGAACUAGUGAGGGGAUAGAGAAAAUUUUGGGGGAUGAAAACCAUGACCUGUGAAGUUUUCUGAUUUCUGUCAGUGAUUUUUGACCAAGGACGCUAUUCACUUUGGUUUAUUGCUACACUGCCUAAGAAAAACAGGUCUUGGUUCAUGCAUUUGAAAAUAAAAGAGGAUACACUGAAGAGAGUGCA